rnacentral:sRNA from 1 species
CCCUAGCCCUGAUAGAAGCGGUAUCCUUUUUGUUUUUUCUUUAAAAACAAAAAGAUAUAGCGGAUAGCAGGAAAUAGC